UUCCACAGCUACUGGUCUGCAGCUGUUCUUAUGGUAGCAGUUGUGGCAUUCCUCUGUGGGAAAGAAACUGUUAACACAAACACCUCUUUCUUAGCAAAACAGAAAGUAGGUAUAUGUGUGACAGACACAA
ensembl:snoRNA SNORA41 small nucleolar RNA, H/ACA box 41